UGUUGCCUAUGAAAGAUAAAAACGGAGCAUCCUGUCAGGGUUCAACACCAGGAAACUGCCUAGCUCAUUCCCUGCCGCUCAGCUCAGCAAGAGUUGCAACAUGCUUUUACUGUAUUCAGAAAGAUAUUUUGUUUUUGUACUUUGCUAUACUGAUAGCGAAGAACUUUAUGUCAUCUUUGCUUUUUGAAAUUCUAAACUUGUGGUUUAAGUAUAAGGGACAAGGAUGGUCCACCCCAGAGGUUGAAUAUGAACUAUCAGACAUCUUUGUUCCAGCCUGAUAAAGACAGAAUCCAAACUUCUGGAGGAACUCAAGAGUGGUCUGAAACACAAAUCCUCAAGCCUUGUUAUGUAUUCGCACGUCCCCUCUGUUGCAAAAAUUAGAAAUAUCAGCUGGAUUAUUCUACUAUUAUAACCUGCUUGGGGUUUUUUGAGCAAACCUCUUGGUCAACGUUCCUCAGUUUUAGCAACUUUACGUUUGCUUCAUGGUUCGACACCCCUCCCCCCCUCCAGGACCAGGGCCUCGCUUCUUCUACAAGCAGCUUCGCGGGUGUGAGAAAGAAACACAGAGGUCACUUACUCCACGGAAGUAUCCUUGUAGCCAAAUCCCUCGGAUGAUUUUCCCGCCUGCGGCAAAUCUUACGCUGGACAAUGGAAUUUCUGAGAUCCAGGAUGGCGGUCGCGGUAAGGGAGAUCACAUUCAGGCCCCAAUUUGCAACCAAGAGACCCCCACACACACACGAUUAUUAAAAUGAACAAUAGUAAAACGUGCGAUAAAAAGUAAGACCUUACGCAGUAAAGGAAACGGAGUCCUUUUACAACUCCCGGAAUCACUGCAUAGCCUUGCAGUUACAUCAAGUAUCUUUUUCACUAACCUUGUGAGUUAUUCCUCCAGGUUUAAUCAGGUAAAGCGCUCCUUUUCACACCAAGAAAACUUUUUCUCCAAAGGAAACCCCAGUCCCGGCGGCUAGAACACACCCUGUGCUUCACCUGAACAACAAAGGACUCUGGGAGCUGUAGUUCUUUUUUUCUGAAGCACCAAAAGGUGCUUUUGCAUUUGCUCUAGGUUCUACACAACUGGAAGGGAAAACUGCUUACAAGCAGAAAAAAGUUUCUUCUGUCCAAAUGAGUAAUCUUCAUCUCCAGUGAGGCCAACCAUUCUAUCAGGAGGCUUCAUCAGCCCAUGGCCUACAACUUCUAAGUGAAUGUUUUUCAAGUUAUUGUAAGUUUAAGAUGUCUGGGCUUCAAACCUUACUAACCAGGGAGUUUGGGGAGUUGAAGUCCACACAUCUUGCCAAGUUUGAAAAAUCGAAGUCAUCAAAAUCAUCUUUUCUCAUAGUGGUCUUCUCUUGUUUAGCGACUUCUUUCCAGUUCCUUGGUAUGUGUAUAAGGACCAGUCAGAAUGGGCAUUGGUCUGGUAUAUAGAGCAAGAGCUGUGGAUCCCAUACAUCAGAGAGGGAGGACAAGAUGGGCUGAGUAUUACAAAUGUUACAUAUAAAUAUUUCUGCUCUUUAUCAUGAGGGGAAAAAAAUAUUUUAAAAUUUAUCUUAACCUUAAAUUUAACUUGAGUGGUUCUUAGCAGAAGAGUAAAAGGUGCACUUUCUAAGACAUUCUCAGAAGAAGAGUUUGAAUUAUGAGAAGUGUUGUAUUGCCUCCUCUAAAAAAGGAGUAAGUAGAUAUCCCCCCCCCUUUUUUUUUCUGUACUAGAUUGCUUACAAAGAAACUCCUUGCAUGCAGUAGUUGCUUUCUCCUGGAAAUGGAUCCAUAUAAAUUAAUUUUGAGCUGAGUUUGAUUCCUGGUACUUUCACAGAAAUAGCUAUGUAGCUUCUUGGCAACAAUAAAGAAUGACUUGCACUGGCCUUCUUUUGGGAUAUUUUUUUUUUUCAAUUUCCCAAUCUAGGGUACUGACAUGGUAUUCCCUGGAAAUCUCCCUGUCAACUCCCAAGUCUGCUUAGAUACUGUCAACCAGGUCAUUAUGAUAAUUAACAUUCUACAGAAUGCCUAUGGCUGUCAUUGCCUAUGAUCUUUAUCUUUAAGAAAGUUUACAGGAGUCAUUUAGGGCAAGAUAAGCUCUGUUUGAAAAUAAAAGCAACACUGGAAUAUAUAGUACAGUCUGUAAACUUCUAUAAAUUUAUUUUUAGUAUAGAAAAUCAGUUGGACCUGGGAAGCUAAAGAAAUAUUGAACAGGUGAUGGAAGCAGAAGACAGGACGGGAGUGGAAAACAGGCCAGGACAGCUGCCUGGAUGAUUUAGCACUCACUGCAGGCAAACGAUUCUCAUCUGGCGAUCCUGCUGAGAUUAGAAGCAAUCAGCAUAAGAACAUAAAUCAUAAGAAUAUUAAAAACCACAGUGACAGCCAAAGUCUUGUCUUAUCCUGCAUUCUGUUUCUAAAGUGAGAACUCAAUAUCUAUGACAAGGCCACCCCCACUUUGCCUCACCAGCAACUGGAUGGUUGAAUGUUUAACCAUUGAUAAAUAUACAUCAAUAUGAUAAAUCUUCAGUCAGUUAAAAAUAAUCAGAUGGUGAGAGUCAGAAAGAGAUAACAUUAAGGA